AACGAACGCUGGCGGCAGGCCUAACACAUGCAAGUCGAACGCUGCAGCAAUGCAGAGUGGCAGACGGGUGAGUAACGCGUGGGAACCUUCCCAGUGGUACGGAAUAGCUCAGGGAAACUUGAGGUAAUACCGUAUAAGCCCCUUGGGGGAAAGAUUUAUCGCCAUUGGAUGGGCCCGCGUCGGAUUAGCUAGUUGGUGAGGUAAUGGCUCACCAAGGCGACGAUCCGUAGCUGGUCUGAGAGGAUGAUCAGCCACACUGGGACUGAGACACGGCCCAGACUCCUACGGGAGGCAGCAGUGGGGAAUAUUGGACAAUGGGCGCAAGCCUGAUCCAGCCAUGCCGCGUGAGUGACGAAGGCCUUAGGGUUGUAAAGCUCUUUUGGCGGGGACGAUAAUGACGGUACCCGCAGAAUAAGCUCCGGCUAACUUCGUGCCAGCCGCCGCCGUAACAC
rnacentral:rRNA from 1 species